rnacentral:rRNA from 1 species
AUUCCUACGGGAGGCAGCAGGGGGGAAUAUUGAACAAUGGGCCACAAGCCUGAUCCAGCAAUUCUGUGUGCACGAUGAAGGUCUUCGGAUUGUAAAGUGCUUUCAGUUGGGAAGAAGAAAGUGACGGUACCAACAGAAGAAGCGACGGCUAAAUACGUGCCAGCAGCCGCGGUAAUAAU